CUCUUUUAUCAACCUGCUCAUACAGGAACUAACCAUAAUUUUGUGAAAACCACCUUAAAUCCUUCUGAGGGCAUCGUUUCCAGUGUCCUAACCUUAUGCUACACCUCUUAUAGUUCCCACCACUUUUUAAUGCUGUCAUUACCAGGAACCACGCUUCCAGCACAUGAAACUUUGGAGACCCCCUCAAACUAUAUCCAAAUCACAGCAGGCUAUGGAGAGCAUACCAGGCAUGUGAUUUCCUAUGAACCUACAGUCAUUUGCAUUACAAGUGGUCAUGGUCCCUGUCUAUCGGAAGAACACUCCAGGGCAAUGUGAGCCCCAGCUUCAGAACACAGUGCCAAAAGAGAACUCACCUAACCUGUGGUUGUCCUGCUUCAGGACAUGUCGAGGGUCACUGCAUUGCAGCUGGGACAGAACAAACUCAUCCUUGGCCACAGGUCCACAGG